UACGAAGGGGGCUAGCGUUGCUCGGAAUCACUGGGCGUAAAGGGUGCGUAGGCGGGUCUUUAAGUCAGGGGUGAAAUCCUGGAGCUCACCUCCAGAACUGCCUUUGAUACUGAAGAUCUUGAGUUCGGGAGAGGUGAGUGGAACUGCGAGUGUAGAGGUGAAAUUCGUAGAUAUUCGCAAGAACACCAGUGGCGAAGGCGGCUCACUGGCCCGAUACUGACGCUGAGGUGCGAAAGCGUGGGGAGCAAACAGG
rnacentral:rRNA from 1 species